ensembl:piRNA 21ur-8627 ncRNA
UUGCUCGAGAAUACAACGAAA